GGCUUAUCCUGGAGUUGCCCAAAGCCUUC
rnacentral:piRNA from 1 species